rnacentral:lncRNA from 1 species
GGGGUACCUUAUGAUAGAACACUGGCUUAGGACGCUUUUCAAGGCAGAACAGCAAACUGGUCUGUUACAAACUUUGCUGCAGUUUCCUGAGAAAAACUGGAUGAGUUUUUUUCUUGUCUUGCAUGUCCUUGGGAACUUGAAGCUGUAAGCAUGUGGCCAUGUUUUCUCUUUUCACAAUGGCAUCCUGUGUUCAGGGUUCAAUUUCUGCCUCGGGAUGAAUUUUUUUUAUCUUCUUCUGUGUAUGUAUUUACAUGUAUUAUGUGUGUGUGAUGUUUAUUUCUAAAACAGCAUUGAUUAAUGGGUUUAAUGAGAGCUUAAAUCAAAUAUUUUGUCAGAAAAGUAAAAAGUAUAAUGCCUUUUAGUUCAUGUGACUUAAGUAAUUUUCCACGGAGCUUGCAGUGAGCCGAGAUCACGCCACUGCACUGCAGCCUAGGCGAAAGAGCGAGACUCUGUCUCAAAAAAAAAAAAAAAAAAAGAAAAAUAUUUUUAAUUAAAAAAAUAUAAAGUCAUGGGAAUUUAGAUUUUUGCCUAGAUUAAAGCAUUAAAGGAUGGUUUCAAGUUAGGAUGAAGCUGACUGUUCAAGAAAGCUGUGGAAGGGUUGUGAAAAAAUAACUGUAAAAGAGAUUCUGUGUGCAAACAUUGGCUAAAAUUAAAGGGGUAUUAUUCAGUUUUUCUGGAAACUGAACAUUGGAAUAAAAGCACUACUCUACUCUUUAACAAAAACUUGUAAAGGGUUAUAAAAGGUUUAUAAAAACCUUACCUUAUGGUCAAUAUGAUUAGGAUUGAAGACAUUUGUCUAUAAAGUUUUACUAAGAAUUGGGUUUGACAUCAAUAAUGCACAAAUGCAACAGUGACAUUUGGCUUAUUUAAUAUUACAAUAAUACAAGAAGCAUUAUCAAAUACAAAAUGGCAUUUGGGUUUCUUUGGGCUGUAUUUGUAUAAAUGUGUUACUGGUACAUGUUCCAAAAUUAUUUUUAAAAAUUCUUUAAUCCUGAUAUGACUUAGUGUAUGUUAUUAAUAAUUGUUCAUUAAAAUCAUUGUGUCUCAGAGGCAACCACAUUUUUCUAGUCAAUUUUGGCUUUAAUUGUGGCUGUCCUAAGACUUUUGGUCAUCCAAAAGUGGUCUUGUUUUGGUUCUCUUUAAAAGGUGGUUUAGAAUUAACUGUAGGACUCUACUGGUGCUUUUAAAUGCAGAUUUCUGAUAAGUUUGGACAUUGUGACAUCAGAACAGAGGGAAACCUUUCAGGACUCAGGGAGAGCUAAAAUGUUCAUAAAUAUCAAGCAGAACAGAAGUUAACUGCAUGGACUAAACUAGCAAAAGUCUAAAGUAACCUUUUUAACUUUUUGUGUAAAAUGUUGCUGAUCUUUUGUGUUUCAGAGUCAAGAAAACUUUUGAGCUAUUAUAGCUUUUAGCAAUUGAGUAAAGUAUACUUGUGUGAACAAAAUUGAGAGCAUAUUUUUUUCUUUUUACCUGAUUUCUCUGGAUUUUGUAAACUAGUUGUGAGUAUUCUUAAUUUAUGGCAAUAUAGUUAUUUGCAUGAGUGUAAUAAGAAUCUGUUGGGUUUUGUUUUGUUUUCUUUAUUAUUAUUAUUAUUUUUGGCAACAAGACACAAUUGGAGAAACUGAUUAUUUUACGAAGACUUUGAUGGAAUGGUAUACUCUCCUUUAAGGAAUCAAACUUGACUUGCCAAGUCAAUAAAAGCCCCUUGGAGAAAUGGCCUCAGACCUUUGCUACAACAGUCCCUGUACGUGAUUUCUGACCUGUGGUAAGUAAAUAAUGUCACCUUCUAACAGGUCCAGGAGCCCCAAGUUAUCUUGGGACCCCAAGAGGAGAGGAAUUUACUAAACUCAUAGGUAUUUGAGGGUACAAACCCAUGGUAGGGCUCAGCUCAAAAAGAGUCUUAUCUAAGAUUCCUUCUAAGAAACAAAGUUUCAUCAAAGCCAGUGUUAAAAGUCUAUGUGAAAAAUAAUUAUUCUUGCUGUACUUUAUACAAAUAAUCAGGCCAAGUAUAAUAAAGCAAAUUAGUCUCACUAUGACUUAUCUUUAGUGAAAAUGGAAAACAGGAGAGAGAAUAUUAUGUUUCAAGACCUAUGUUACACUUGUUAUUAAAUUCUAGUCUCAUCAGUUGUUAAGUUUGUUUCUGCAGUUUAGGCUAACCCUGCUUCUUCCUGUGAACCAACCGGUGAUCUUUGUUUGCUACUCUGAAAAAACAAGACAUUUUGGUAAUGUAAAAAUCUGGAUCAGUAUUCUAAUUCUGGGCAUGUAUUGGAAUUGGCUAACCACCUCAUGUCAGCUUGGUUCCAGUAGUUGCCCAGUUCAUGAAGAGCCUUAUAAUUUAGUUUAUUUGGGAUAAUUUUGCUUAUUUUGUUAUAUUGCUGUUUUACUCUUUGUGUAGGAAUGCAGACUAAGCUUGCUAAAUGUUUUCUUAAACUAAAUACUUAUUAGUCUUUCAGAUAUCACCUUUCAUCAGGACUCAAGAGUUCUGAAUGGCCUUCAUCAUACUGAGGCUUUCUGACUGAGCUCCUCUCUACCCUGAACACAGAGACCCUAAUAGUUAGGCAGGAAUAUCAUUUCCCCUAUUCAGCCUGAAGAAGUUACAGAAGAUGAAUCUUUGUCCCCCUACAACCUUAGGAUUAAGGGUUCUCUUAUAAAAGGGAGGGAGGAAAUGUCUAAGACAUGUGAACUAGAGCAACUUCAUCCUGAAGAGGAGCUGAGUAAAAUAAGGCUGAAACCUACUGGGCUGCAUUCUUAGACAGUUAAGGCAUUCUAAGUCACAGGAUGAGAUAGGAGGUUAGCACAAGAUACAGGUCCUUAAAACCUUGCUGAUAAAACAGUUUGCAGUAAAGAAACCAGCCAAAACCCACCAAAACCAAUAUGGCCACGAGAGUGACCUCUGGUCAUCCUCACUGCUACACUCCCACCAGCGCCAUAAUAGUUCACAAAUACCAUAGCAACAUCAGGAUGUAACCCUGCAUAAAUAAUGCACCCCUUGUUUAGCAUAUGAUCAAGAAAUAACCAUAAUAAUAGGCAACCAGCAGCCCUCAGGGAUGCUCUGUCUUUGGAGUAGCCAUUCUCUUAUUCCUCUACUUUCUUAAUAAACUUGCUUUCACUUUAC